GGAGCCCAGCACCACCAAAUCCAUUUCAGAAGUGGUAUAACAGGGCACUCAGCAAGACUUGGCUCAAGAAGACCCAAAAGGAAGAUCCAUGAGCCCUCCAUGCAUCCCAGGCCUGCAGAGACCAGUGGAGGUUCCAGUAAAAGGUUUAUCUUAGCCCUUCCCCAGAACAGACGAGGCCUCCAAAGCUGAGGAUAAGUGAGGUUGGAGACCCCAAAGCUCUUUGGAAG
rnacentral:lncRNA from 1 species